CAAGAAGUAUUGUUUUCAAUGUUUAUCAAAGAAUACUUGAUCAACAAGGUGCAGAACAUGCACAAUCAUCGAUAUUGAGCUAUGUGGAAGUGUUGACUGGGGUUUCUAAUACUACCAUAAGACGAAUUGUUGCCGAGGGCAGAUCUAACAGAGGCGUAUUUAGUACGCCCGGUAAAAAGAGGAAAGGU